rnacentral:rRNA from 1 species
UACGUAGGGACCGAGCGUUGUCCGGAAUCAUUGGGCGUAAAGAGCGUGUAGGCGGCCCCUUAAGUCCUGCGUGAAAUCCUGCGGCUCAACCGCAGACGGUCGUGGGAAACUGGAGGGCUAGAGUGCGGGAGAGGAGAGUGGAAUUCCUGGUGUAGCGGUGAAAUGCGCAGAUAUCAGGAGGAACACCGGUGGCGAAGGCGGGUCUCUGGGCCGAUACUGACGCUGAGGAGCGAAAGCGUGGGGAGCGAACAGG